rnacentral:lncRNA from 1 species
GUCAGAGAUGUCAGUAUAUACAAACAGUGACUGUUCCAGAAGUAAAUAUAGAAAUGUGUGCAUUUGUGGGGCAGUAUACACACAUAUAUGUUUCUUAGUUCUAUCUACUAAGGAUCCUGGAAGCAGUGACAUCACAGAAGAGCUAUGAGAGGAAAGAAAAAGGAGUUUGCUAGGCAAUGAGGGGUCACCAGUGUGAUUGGAGCAAGAACGUGUAAAAGGAGAGACACGAUGGGAAGUGUGUGUAGAAAGGCGAUGAAGAGUCUGAAGGGGUUAGGAGCUUGUCUCUAACCAAACGAGCAAUGGAAAAAUGCGAGGGGUUCUAGAGCAGGGAUGGCAAGGUUACAACUGUCGACGUCCUGGAGAAAAGUAUUUGAUGGAAGUUUCAUAGUCAGCAUGAAGGAGGGGCAGACUCAAACCGUGCAUCUGACAGCAGACCUGCUGAGUAGGAUGGAUUCACAUGGACAACACAUUCUUCAAAGCUUUCCCUUCCUCUUCAGACACUCAAAGUUGCAGAAGACCUGUGGAAUAACUGGUUUAUCCCUACACACUCUGCAGAAACCCCUUAAAAGAAUGGAGCCAGGGAGUCCCUGCUUCAUGGCACAGAGCUCCCAGGGCAUGCAUCAGCAGGGAUUGUUUUUCUAAAUCUGCUGCUCACUAAAUUAUUUCCCCGAUUUACCAGGAUGCGAAGUCUAAUCCUUCUUCUGAAUGAUAAUCCUUUUAAAAUUAUAGGCAGGUAAGUUUUAAAAUUUAAAGGCAACUGGGCCUUUGACUUCUCCAUAGUGUCACCCAUGGUAGAUGACACAUAUUUUUAUCUCUUUAUCGAAAACUGGGACAAGUUUAUUUUUCUGGGCUGCUGUUAAUUAGUGAUAUCCCAGAGGAUAUCCUACAGUUCUCCAGAAAGGACUAACUUGACCCCAUUUUCUUCACUAAUUACCCAUGUCUGAGCUUCCUUCCACAGCAAGAUGCCUCCAUAGAGUGAUCUACGCCCACUAUUUCUAAAGCUCCCUCAUCUCUCUUGAGCCCAUUCCUUUCAGGCCUUUGUGGCCAUCAUUACACAGAAACUCUCAUCAGGAUAAGUGAAGACCUCCACAUCACUCCAUUUGAUUUUCAUUCUCAGUCUUUCUCCUCUGGCCUUUUACCUCGCUGACCCAUUCCCUUGUACUCACUGAGCUCCAGUCACAUUGGCCCUUUGCUAUCUCUGAACAGGCAGGGACCCUGGGUCAGAGCCUUGCACUGCUGUCCUCAGACUUAUAUAUUUUCCCUAGAUAUGGGCACAAUCACUGUCUCAGGGGUUUUCAUAUUUGUUCCAAUGAGGUGCAAAUCGUUGUUUCACAGUGAGGCCUCCGCUGGCAACCCUCCUGGGCCCCACACAGCUCAGACAUGCUGAUUUGUCUCCAUUUUACCCACAUAGUAUGUAUCUCCCAGCUAGAGAGUACGGAUAUAGUGUUAAGUGUACUGCCUUUGCUGGCCUCCCUGCUCUGACACAAUCUCAGCAGGUACAGGGGAGCUUGUCCAUUUGGUCUCCUGAGUACGUAGCACAGUGCCCACCAUAGAGCAGAUGUUGGAUAGACAAAUGACCAGGAAUGGAAAUGUCAAGGGUCAGGGGAGAAGCACGCAGCAGCUCAAUGGGCUGGGAGAGUGGAAAGGAAAUGAGUGACAUGGAAGAGCUUCCUAAAUUAUAACCAGUUCAAGAAGUAACAGCUCAAUUCAGGAAAGAGUAAGCAUAUAGAUUACUUGUUAUGCUCCUAUAAAUUGAUAAUAAAGAUGAUGCAUGGGUGGGUGGGGAGAAAAUG